rnacentral:rRNA from 1 species
UUAUGUAUGGGGGGGCGAAAGCUGGAACAGCCAAGUCGCGUGAAGGACGACGGUUCUAUGGAUUGUAAACUUCUUUUGUAGAGGAAUAAUGGCAGCUACGCGUAGCUGAGAUGCAUGUACUCUACGAAUAAGUAUCGGCUAACUCCGUGCCAGCAGCCGCGGUAAUACGGAGGAUACGAGCGUUAUCCGGAAUUAUUGGGUUUAAAGGGUGCGUAGGUGGCGUAUUAAGUCAGUGGUGAAAAGCUGCAGCUCAACUGUAGUCUUGCCGUUGAAACUGAUAUGCUAGAGAGGAGACGAGGUUUGCGGAAUGUGUGGUGUAGCGGUGAAAUGCAUAGAUAUCACACGGAACGCCGAUUGCGAAGGCAGCGUACCAGGCUCCGUCUGACACUGAAGCACGAAAGCGUGGGGAUCAAACAGGAUUAGAUACCCUGGUAGUCCACGCAGUAAACGAUGAAUACUAGAUUUUUGCGAUAUAGUGUAAGAGUCUAAGCGAAAGCGAUAAGUAUUCCACCUGGGGAGUACGCCGGCAACGGUGAAACUCAAAGGAAUUGACGGGGGCCCGCACAAGCGGAGGAACAUGUGGUUUAAUUCGAUGAUGCGCGAGGAACCUUACCCGGGAUUGAAAUUUAGAUGACGGCAGAUGAGAGUUUGCUUUCCUUCGGGACAUCUAAGUAGGUGCUGCAUGGUUGUCGUCAGCUCGUGCCGUGAGGUGUCGGCUUAAGUGCCAUAACGAGCGCAACCCGCGUCGAUAGUUACUAACAGGCUAUGCUGAGGACUCUAUCGAGACAGCCGUCGUAAGACGCGAGGAAGGGGCGGAUGACGUCAAAUCAGCACGGCCCUUACAUCCGGGGCGACACACGUGUUACAAUGGCAGGGACAAAGGGAAGCGACAUGGUGACAUGAAGUGGAUCUCCAAACCCCUGUCCCAGUUCGGAUCGGAGUCUGCAACUCGACUCCCGUGAAGCUGGAUUCGCUAGUAAUCGCGCAUCAGCCCAUGGCGCGGUGAUACGUUCCCCGGGCCUUGUUACACACCGGCCCAAGGCCGAAUUCCACAGUGAUUAUCCAAGCCUUAUCGAUACCGUCCAACACCUCGAGGG